AGGCAGGUACGGGAUUAAUACAGUAAUGUUCAGAGUUUCAUUUCAGACAUUACUUCAGCCUAAUAAUACAGUAAUGUUCCACUCCACAGGGCGUCAGGUAUGCAACUCUCUCAGAACAAAACUUCAGUUAAGAUUUGCAAAUACAUACUCCAAGACGCUUAAGUGCAGUUAUAUAGUAACUACCUAAGUAGCUAUUUCAGUUCAGCUUAAAGUGCAGUUAUAUAUGAGGUAUAUAUAUCUAUAUCAGACGCUUAGAAGCAGAGAAGGUAAACCUCUCUGUCCAUGUUCUUUUGGCAUUGGCCGGGGCUCACUCCAUGUUCUUCAUCCAAUGCAGUUCAUCAGGAUCCCAACUAACCUCAGACUCAGAGUAAUGGGAAACAUGUGCGAUCAGAUGUCAACAUCGACCUCAUUGUUUUAUUCACUACUGCUGGACUCCUUAGUAGGUUCAGUUUCCAUUUGCUUCUUCCAUCUUCCAUGCAUGGAGUGAAAAAUUAAUAUUUUUUCACAUCAAUACAUGUGAAUUAGGGCGGGUUAGUCCAAACAAUGAGUGCAGCUAUGUAAGUGUAACUACAUAAUAACUAGUUAUAUAUUUGAGCUUAUGUGCAGCUAUCCAUGGACCAUGGUCUUUUGGCAAUUGGCAUGGGCUCGCUUCAACAAAUGCAGUUUAGGAUCCCAACUAACCUCAGAGUAACGGGAAACAUGUGCGACCAGAUUUCAACAUCGAUCUCAUUGUUUUAAUCACUACUGCUGUAUGUACUACUCUUCAGUAGGUUCAGUUUCCAUAUGCUUCUUCCAUCUUCCAUGGAGUUAUGUGCAUCAGUGCAUGGCGGCCGAAUUAUAUCCUUGUUCAUGUUCAUCGCAUUCUUCUACUCGAUGUCAGCACCAGGGGCCACCUACAAUUCCACAAACUUUGUUUAAGAUCACUGCUUAUCCACACAAGCCAGUGCAUGAUAAACACCAGAGGCUCGGCAUGGAGGUGGAGACGCAACUUCCUCACAAGGCGUCAUUUGAUGAGUUCCAGACGGCCUUCACCAUGCCCUUGUCACCGUUCGACGCGUGAGGCGAUGAAUGUCCUCUUUUUGAGCAUGACCAGUGCUGUCCGUGCCUAGGGAGCCGCCAGUUUUAGGUCACACAUUUUGCUUAAGAAUGAGGCGUAAUUUACAACUGAAUAGUUAAGGUCGUUCUAAUUCGCUAACGAUGGCCUGCCACCGUUAUGGAUCGCUUGUGUAACUUGGGCACUUUGCCUACUUCCUCUUCCUCUUAAUAAAAAACAGGUUAAACACCCAAUCUCGAAAAAAAUAAAAAAAACAUCAAAUAAAAACUCAAUUAUACAAUCAUUACAGGCAGGUACGAUUAAUACAGUAUGUUCUAGAGUUCAUUUCAGACAUUACUUCUCUAGCCUAAAUGCCUAAUACAGUAGUUCAUUUAAGAUUCUCAUUCUGUGUCCUCUGGGGUGUUUUAGGCCUUCGGACUUUCUGUACAUAAACCUCUAUUUUUCUUUAAUUGAGAGGCAGAGCUCCUGCUAAGUUUUUUUAAAAAAAGUUAAGAUUCUCAUUUACUACAAGUGCAAAUACAUACUCCAAGAUGCUUAAGUGUAGCUAUAUAACUACCUAACUAGCUAUUUCAGCUUAAAAAUGCAUAAUCUCUGUCCAUGUUCUUUUGGCAUUGGGCAGGGCUCACUUCAUCCAAUGCAGUUCAUCAGGAUCCCAACUAACCACAAAGAAUCGGAGUAACGGGAAACAUGUGCGAUCAGAUCUCAACAACGAUCUGAUUGUUUUAUUCAGUACUGCUGUAGCCCUUAGUAGGUUUAGUUUCCAUUCGCUUCUUCCAUGGAGUGAUGUGCAUGGCGACCGAAUUCUAUCCUUGUUCAUGUUCAUCGCAUCCUUCUACGCGAUGUCAGCACCAGGGGCCACCCACAAGCUUUGUUUACAGAUUACUGCUUAUCCACACCUGGCAGUGCAUGAUAAACUUCAAAUAAAACUCCAUUAUUUCCCUAAUCCACCUAGAGUGCAUGCACUUGUGCGUGUUUUUUUUGCGAUCAGAUGAAGCGUUUCCUGCUUUUCGGGAAGCGGCAGUCUCUGACUUUUCUUGCAUAUAUUGCGAUUGGCGACGAGAUUAUCGCGAGCGACGUCGGAUUUAACAAUUAGUGCAAGGCCUGCCUGCAUACCAUAGCAUUUGGGAGCCUCGUGUGGAUUAGCGUCUGAGCUACUCCAUAAUGCUCAUAAACUAACUGCAGAUGAAGACAUUCAGUUGUACCUGAUCGAUCGAUGUGAUGCAAUGGAAGACUUGUGAAUAGGAUCAUUAUUCAUCCGAUCGAAUUGUUUGCUUGCUCCAAAGGCAUGGAAAGCACGGGUGCACUACAAUCUAUAGUUCUAUACUAUACUUGGGGUACUGAAGGACAGAAGGAAUAUUUGAGGUACUGAACAUUAGCAUAUAUACUUCCCCAGCUGAGAGUUGGUGUACUAGGGAAAAACAAUUUGUUGACCGAAUCACACGCUCCUUCUCCAAGCUUCCCGCGAAUAGAAAGAAAAUAAAAUG
rnacentral:lncRNA from 1 species